rnacentral:tRNA from 2 species
GCCGGGGUGGCUUAGCCUGGUUAUAGCGCACGGCUCAUAAGCAUGAAACAAGGCUGGGAAACCGUGAGGUCGCGGGUUCGGAUCCCGCCCCCGGCACC